rnacentral:lncRNA from 1 species
UAGAAUGCAAGAUUAAAAUGGAUUCAUGAAUUGAAAGCUACUGAUCCAUGCAGCUAAACUGCACGCACUCCUGCUAGAAGGACAGGGUAUAGAGUGUCAAUUUUACUACACCUUUCCCAGCAUUUAAUUUUUUGCUUCACUUCUGCGGUAACCCUGAAUUAAUGAGUCAAAUGAGCACACUUUGCAAAAUGAUAAAAACAGAGACUUCAAAGGUACACCCAUCUCUAGAGAUUUUUUUUUUAAU